CCUCGCACAGAUCCCCCCGAGGCUCCUUCAGAUGUCAGCACAGGAACUACCGCUAACCGUAAAGUGGCUCGACACCCACACGGCUCUGAACACCACAUGAAGACGAAGAGGCACGCAGAGAAAGAGCGGGAGAAAACAUGAGGGGGAAGGAUUCGUUUCUCUGAGCCCUUUUCCUGGUCGGCUCCGUUGUUUUUUUUUUUUUGAGUGUGUUUUGUUCUGAAAACGUCACUUUUAGUAAUGGGGAUCUUCAAUGAGUCACACUUUACAGGUGUUAGGAAGCCUACUUUAAGAAGAUCUGAUUUACCAGAGGAAAAAGCGAG